AUUGAACGCUGGCGGCAGGCCUAACACAUGCAAGUCGAACGAGUGGCGGACGGGUGAGUAAUGUAUGGGAAACUGCCUGAUGGAGGGGGAUAACUACUGGAAACGGUAGCUAAUACCGCAUACCAUCGGAUGAGCCCAGAUGGGAUUAGUUAGUAGGUGGGGUAACGGCUCACCUAGGCGACGAUCCCUAGCUGGUCUGAGAGGAUGACCAGACACACUGUAACUGAGACACGGUCCAGACUCCUACGGGAGGCAGCAGUGGGGAAUAUUGCACAAUGGGCGCAAGCCUGAUGCAGCCAUGCCGCUUGUAUGAAGAAGGCCUUCGGGUUGUAAAGUACUUUCAGCGGGGAGGCGUUACCCGCAGAAGAAGCACCGGCUAACUCCGUGCCAGCAGCCGCGGUAAUUC
rnacentral:rRNA from 1 species